rnacentral:tRNA from 1 species
CGGGUUGUGGUUCAGAGAUAAAACAUCUGCUUGGCAUGUAGAAAGUCCCAGGUUCAACCCCUGGCUUCUUAG